rnacentral:rRNA from 1 species
AUUGAACGCUGGCGGCAGGCCUAACACAUGCAAGUCGGGCGGAUGAAGGGAGCUUGCUCCUGGAUUCAGCGGCGGACGGGUGAGUAAUGCCUAGGAAUCUGCCUGGUAGUGGGGGAUAACGUCCGGAAACGGGCGCUAAUACCGCAUACGUCCUGAGGGAGAAAGUGGGGGAUCUUCGGACCUCACGCUAUCAGAUGAGCCUAGGUCGGAUUAGCUAGUUGGUGGGGUAAAGGCCUACCAAGGCGACGAUCCGUAACUGGUCUGAGAGGAUGGUCAGUCACACUGGAACUGAGACACGGUCCAGACUCCUACGGGAGGCAGCAGUGGGGAAUAUUGGACAAUGGGCGAAAGCCUGAUCCAGCCAUGCCGCGUGUGUGAAGAAGGUCUUCGGAUUGUAAAGCACUUUAAGUUGGGAGGAAGGGCAGUAAGUUAAUACCUUGCUGUUUUGACGUUACCAACAGAAUAAGCACCGGCUAACUUCGUG